rnacentral:misc_RNA from 1 species
AUUUGGAUUUGUGGGGUUAGUUGAUAAUUUAGGUGAGAUGGGGAAGAAAAGGGGUUUGCCCAAUUGGGUUCCUGAUGGGUGGAAGGUGGAGGUUAGAACACGCAAAGGAAAGAAAGAAAAGUGGUAUAUUGAUCCCUCAAAAGGACUCAAAUUCUGCUCCAAGGCGGACGUUCUUCACUAUCUUAGCAGUGUUGACAGUAAUUGUUCUAAGAGUUCUAAUACGAAGGAAAUGGAGAAUAAAGGCACCAAUAAGUGUUUUAUUGAGAAGACUGCAUCAGAAGGGUUGCCACCAGGAUGGAUUAAGGAAUUGAAGGUCAGGAAAAAGGGACGCAAAAUCAGGAAAGACCCGUAUUAUAUUGAUCCUGUCAGUGGACAAACUUUCCGCUCUUUGAAGCAAGUUUCUCGGUUCCUUGAAACUAGAGAGCCAGGAAGGUUUGAAUCCAAGCCCGAUGAUAAAUGUCCUGACACAUUAGAACUUGAAGAACCUUCUUCUUUGUUUCCUGCUGAAGCUGACGAGCAGAUAUCACUAGACUGUGAUGCAUCUUGCAAGGAAGUUAAUUCGAACCAGAAGCUGAAGUUGGGUGCUGAACAUAUGGCACAUUCCAGUUGUGUAGAAGGCAGUAUGUCAUCCUGUGAAGGUUUAGGAGAUGCUGUAGCAGAGAAUGCGGCAGAGGAGAAAAUUGAUAAAGUUGUUUCAGAUCCUGCUAUUGAAGAACAUCGAGAAAAGGACGAUGAUGGGGAAGUUGUCUCGAAUACUGUUAGUGGAGGACAUCAAGAAAAGGAGGAUAUUGGUAAAGUUAUCUUGGCUACAGCAAGUGGAGAGCAUCAAGAGGAGGAUGAUGAUGGUAAAGUUAUCUCGGCUACAGCAAGUGGAGAACAUCAAGAAAAAGAGGAUGAUGGUAAAGUUGUCUCGAAAACUGUAAAUGGAGAAAAUCAAGACAAGCCAUCACUAGACGGAGUGGAAAAGCA